rnacentral:lncRNA from 10 species
AUUCUUUGGUUGACUUUGGAUAUAGCAGCUGAAAACCCUGAGAGUCCCCAAAGAGUUCCAAGCUUUCACCAUGACUGCUGGGUGGGGGUGAUGCUCCUUCAGUGUUGGUGAAGACUUAAGUCUUUUCCUCAUCUCUUUCCUGAUGUUUGGGGCCUUCUCCAUGGGCCGGAACUUGGGCCAGGGUCUUGGAAGAGCCUCUCCUCUCUCAUAACCUCACGCAAGCUGAUUAAUGAAAACAAACUUUUUUUUUUUUUUUUAGUUUACUUAUUUGACUUCCUUUAUAAACGUUUCCAACCAGGUUUUAUGCCUGGUAAUGAAAUUAUGCUUAUUUUUAAACUUCUAAAAAUGUUUCCGUCAUCCUUGAGUUGGCUGGAAUUUCAAUUUAUUCAGGCAUGGAUUAUUCAAAAAGAAGCUUGCUGUAUUUGGCAAAUGGUAAGAACAAGGACAUUAAACUAUUAGCACUUUUAAGUACCAUUGAGCAAUACUUUUAUUCCCUAAAUGUAAAGCUUUGCAUGAGAACGUGUCUAAUAUUAGCUGGUAGACCAGAUUACUCGGGAGUCUCUUCUGGUCUCCUAAGUAAAUAGUAUUUCUUGUGUUGUAAUUAUUUAUUUUCCCAAGAGGCCAGAAAGGCUGUAAUCUUAACAACAGUUUUAUCUGUUUCCUCUCUCUAUAACAAUUUACUAUGUAUACCUAAGAGACUGGGAAACCUCUUUGGGUUUCCCUAAUCCAGACUUCCAAAAGAUAUUUCUCUUUUAAAGAACCCAGGUGUUAAGCCAAAUCCCCUGUUUAUAGAACGUUAAGGUUAUGACACAAGUCAAUAAAAGCCUGGAAGUGCUGUUACUGCUGACAUUGCACCCCUAACACACACCAUUGUGCCUUUUAUUUCUCUUUCACAAUAGUGUGGAGUUAAGGAGGGAGUGUAAAACUUAACUUUGAAUUUCCUGGCUUUUGUUGGUUUGUUGAGCAAUCCUAAUGCUAUUGAAUUUUUUUCCCCCUUGCUGGGUGGUUGUUUUUCUGGUGUGCAGUUGUGCAUUGUAUUUUUCUAAGAAUUACAAUGGUUUAGACACGUCAUAUUGGUGUGAAUGUAAACCAGAGGUUAACCUUUGGCAGGAUAAGGAGAGUAGAGGAAUAUAUGUAAAAUGUGUGAAUUCAUUUGAACCUGACAGUGAUUUUCAGUAGGAGAGGGAGUUUUAUGUACACAGUUCAUUGGGCAGCUCUCUCUUCUUUUAGCCCAUGGGUUGGAUCUGCUCAUGGAGUUGCUAUUAUUACAUGAAGGUAAGAGCCCAGAUGAAAGGGAACACAUUCUGCCAAUCAGCACGGUACUUCCAAACUUAGAGAUCUCACAUUUAUUCUUUAGGGACAGUGGACACUCUAGUGAAUUUACUGCAGAAAAGUGGCUCUGAGCUUGUUCCUAUGGCGAAAUUAAGAGGUCCCUUUGGUUGCCUUUUUCUCUUAUUUCUUUUAGUAAUUAACAAGAGUUUAUACUGUUUAUUUUUCUCAGUGCAAAAGCUAUAUAUGUUCAUAGUAGGAAAAUUGUUAAAAAUAAGCAAAAAGAGGAAGACAAAAUCAUUGCUUAUCAACCACUGCUAAUAUUUCAGCGUAUAUCUUUGUAGGUAAUUUUAUCAUGUAAACUAAUUUUUUUUAAAAAGGAAUCAUACCAUACAUACUGCUUUGUACCUACUGUUUAUUAAACCAUAGUGUCAAACAGAAUUGCACAGCAAUAAU